UAUGCCUUUAAGACACAGGCUCGUUUCUGUGGCUGAAGGUUCCACGUUUGGGGUCUGUUUAACCCACUAGCCAGGACCUGAGGCAGCUGCUUUUCUCGCAAGACAAUAAAAUCCAGGUUAUGGAAUCCUUUCAUAGAGGAGCAUCUCACAGGACAUGGACACGUUUGAGAAGGCUGAUGCAGUGCAUGGAACAUUGAUGAGAAAUGCUUCCCCUAAAUGAAUCCCCUAGAACACUAAGGAUGGGCCACAAAUGUGAGGAUGACCUCUGUUAUAGUCAGCAGCACCUUUCUGUUUCUUCAUAUGGCUUUUGAGAAACUGCUUCUUUGAUCUGUGCCUUAAUUUAUCCAUCAGAACAAUGGUCUCUAUCGAUAUAAUUGAAAGGACCAUAAAAAAAAAAACCCUUGAUA